CAGUCGUACUUACGGGUAAUCAGCCUUUUGGGUGUGAUUUUGUGGAGCGUGAGGAGUUAAACGCCUUCAUGCCUGCAUAUUCGUGCACUUUGGGUGUACUUGCCCGUGUGUAAGUUAACAUCAAUUUUGGUGGUCAUAAAAUGGCUGGAGGAAUGUAGCUUCGAUCUUGUAUUGAAGUGUUAUAGCCUUGGUAGAUGUGAUGAUCGGGAUUGAGGAUUGCAACGGGACUACCCUUCGGGGCCUACCUGUCUGACCUCUGAAGUUGCUUAGGUACCGAAAGCGU
rnacentral:rRNA from 1 species